rnacentral:rRNA from 1 species
UCUAAGCACAUGCCUUAAAACGGUGAAGCCGCGAAUAGCUCAUUACAACAGCCAUCGUUUAUUAGAAUAUCGUUAUCCUACUUGGAUAACUGUGGCAAUUCUAGAGCUCAUACAUGCAAUAAAGCUCUGCCCGCAAGGAACGAGCGCAUUUAUUAGAAUAAAAACCAAUCGGGUUUCGGCCCGUAAUUUGGUGAAUCUGAAUAACUUUGCCAAUCGCACAGUCCUAGUACUGGCGAUGUAUCUUUCAAGUGUCUGCCUUAUCAACUUUCGAUGGUACGCUAUACGCCUACCAUGGUAGUAACGGGUAACGGAGAAUAAGGGUUCGACUCCGGAGAGGGAGCCUGAGAAACGGCUACCACAUCCAAGGAAGGCAGCAGGCGCGCAAAUUACCCACUUCCAGAACGGAGAGGUAGUGACGAAAAAUAACGAGACAGUCCUCUUCGAGGUCUGUCAUCGGAAUGGGUACAAUUUAAA